rnacentral:rRNA from 1 species
AUGCAAGUCGAACGCAGUAGCAAUACUGAGUGGCAAACGGGUGAGUAUAAUGUGGGAAUCUGCCUUUUGGUUUGGAAUAACACGGGGAAACUUGUGCCAAUACCGAAUAAGCCCUUACGGGGAAAGUUUUAACGCCGAAAGAUGAGCCCGCACUUGAUUAGCUAGUUGGUAAGGUAAAAGCUUACCAAGGCAAUGAUCAAUAGCUGUUCUUAGAGGAAGACCAGCCACAUUGGGACUGAGACACGGCCCAGACUCCUACGGGAGGCAGCAGUGGGGAAUCUUGCACAAUGGGGGAAACCCUGAUGCAGCGAUGCCGCGUGAGUGAAGAAGGCCUUUGGGUUGUAAAACUCUUUCGUCGGGGAAGAAAAUGACUGUACCCGAAUAAGAAGGUCCGGCUAACUUCGUGCCAGCAGCCGCGGUAAUACGAAGGGACCUAGCGUAGUUCGGAAUUACUGGGCUUAAAGAGCUCGUAGGUGGUUAAAAUAGUUGAUGGUGAAAUCCCAAGGCUUAACCUUGGAACUGCCAUCAAAACUUUUUAGCUAGAGUGUGAUAGAGGUAAGUGGAAUUUCUAGUGUAGAGGUGAAAUUCGUAGAUAUUAGAAAGAACACCAAAUGCGAAGGCAACUUACUGGAUCAUUACUAACACUGAGGAGCGAAAGCAUGGGUAGCGAAGAGGAUUAGAUACCCUCGUAGUCCAUGCCGUAAACGAUGUGUGCUAGACGUUGGAAAUAUAUUUUUCAGUGUCGCAGCGAAAGCGUUAAGCACACCGCCUGGGGAGUACGACCGCAAGGUUAAACUCAAAUGAAUUGACGGGGACCCGCACAGCAGUGGGAGCAUGUGGUUUAAUUCGAGAUACGCGCAGAACCUUACCAACC